rnacentral:tRNA from 1 species
AGUUUUGUGGUGUAGGUGCACGUCAGAUUGCAAACCUGAUGGCGCAGGUUAGACUCUGCCAAAACUU